rnacentral:rRNA from 1 species
UAGGGAAUAUUGCACAAUGGAGGAAACUCUGAUGCAGCGACGCCGCGUGAGUGACGAAGGCCUUCGGGUUGUAAAGCUCUGUUCUCAGGGAAAAAGAAAGUGAUGGUACCUGAGGAGAAAGGACCGGCUAACUUCGUGCCAGCAGCCGCGGUAAGACGAGGGGUCCAAGCGUUGUUCGGAAUCAUUGGGCGUAAAGCGGGUGUAGGUGGCUCUAUAAGUCAGAAGUGAAAGCCCCAGGCUUAACCUGGGAAGUGCUUUUGAUACUGCAGAGCUUGAAUGUGGGAGAGGAUCGUGGAAUUCCAGGUGUAGUGGUGAAAUACGUAGAUAUCUGGAGGAACACCGGUGGCGAAGGCGGCGAUCUGGCCCAACAUUGACACUGAGACCCGAAAGUGCGGGGAUCAAACAGG